GAUGAACGCUGGCGGCGUGCCUAACACAUGCAAGUCGAACGAGUGGCGGACGGGUGAGUAAUGUCUGGGAAACUGCCCGAUGGAGGGGGAUAACUACUGGAAACGGUAGCUAAUACCGCAUACCAUCGGAUGUGCCCAGAUGGGAUUAGCUAGUAGUUGGGGUAACGGCUCACCAAGGCGACGAUCCCUAGCGGGUCUGAGAGGAUGACAGGCCAAACUGGAACUGGGACACGGCCCAGACUCCGACGGGAGGCAGCAGUGGGGAAUAUUGGACAAGGGGCGCAAGCCUGAUGCAGCCAGGCCGCGUGUAUGAAGAAGGCCUUCGGGUUGUAAAGUACUUUCAGCGAGGAGGCGUUACUCGCAGAAGAAGCACCGGCUAACUCCGUGCCAGCAGCCGCGGUAAUUC
rnacentral:rRNA from 1 species